rnacentral:rRNA from 1 species
CCUACGGGCGGCACCAGUGGGGAAUAUUGCACAAUGGGCGCAAGCCUGAUGCAGCCAUGCCGCGUGUAUGAAGAAGGCCUUCGGGUUGUAAAGUACUUUCAGCGGGGAGGAAGGUGUUGUGGUUAAUAACCGCAGCAAUCGACGUUACCCGCAGAAGAAGCACCGGCUAACUCCGUGCCAGCAGCCGCGGUAAUACGGAGGGUGCAAGCGUUAAUCGGAAUUACUGGGCGUAAAGCGCACGCAGGCGGUCUGUCAAGUCGGAUGUGAAAUCCCCGGGCUCAACCUGGGAACUCCAUUCGAAACUGGCAGGCUCGAUUCUUGUAGAGGGGGGUAGAAUUCCAGGUGUAGCGGUGAAAUGCGUAGAGAUCUGAAGGAAUACCAGUGGCGAAGGCGGCCCCCUGGACAAAGACUGACGCUCAGAUGCGAAAGCGUGGGGAGCAAACAGGAUUAGAUACCCGAGUAGUC